UUCGGUUAUAGUCCUUUGGCAAUUGAAGUUAUAUUAAGACAAACUUUACAAGUAGAGUGGCAGAGGGAAAUGGGAACUUAAACAUAGUUCCCCCCGGAACUGGACAUGAAAUGAUCUUUCCAAACUCAGGAGUUUCACAUCUGACAAGCCAUUACUUCUGAUCAGAAUAACAGCUUCAUCCUUGAGCUAUCGGUUGGAUAUAAGAACAUCUUUUGCCAUGGUACAUUUCGGUAGAGAAGGCACAUCUUGCAAUUUGACCCCUCUACGGACAGAAGUUGGACUGCUUAAUACACUGCCUUAAAGAGAAUGCGCUGAUACAGUAUGAGAGCAUUUACACAGGACAACCAUCUGGAAGAAGCAGAUAUCUGUGUUAGAGUUGAUAGAGGAACGUACAUCAGUACAUGCAGAGUCCCGAUAUUCUGAGGUGAAAAUUGUACAUUGUUCCACAGCAUACACUUUUGAAGUUAAAUAUGAGGAAAUUUUAAGUAUCAUCUUACAGAAAGAUUAGUGAUGGAUGGAGUUCAGAAGAAGUAUUGCUAUUACAGUAAAACUGAGUGCUUUUAGCUGGAUUUGAGUUCAAUUUUCAUUAGCAAAUGUUCCUCUUGUUGUAUCCAAACUAUCUUGUCUAUAAAAGAGAAAGACUUCAUGAGAUCAGUGCAUCAAUCUUUGAAUCAUUCAACCAUAUACACUUUCAAAACAAAUUGAGUUUGAGUGCAAUCUUCAUGUGUAUAUAUUCAUCUGCCACAGGGAAUUAGCUUCAUCUGUGACCGUAAAUUCUAAAUUUCUACUCCUGUUUC